CCGAGUGCGGGUCCCUCGCGGCCCAACCUCCCACCCUUGUCUCUAUACACCUGUUGCUUUGGCGGGCCCACCUGGGGCCACCUGGUCGCCGGGGGACGUACGUCCCCGGGCCCGCGCCCGCCGAAGCGCUCUGUGAACCCUGAUGAAGAUGGGCUGUCUGAGUACUAUGAAAAUUGUCA
rnacentral:misc_RNA from 1 species